rnacentral:rRNA from 1 species
UACGGAGGGUGCUAGCGUUGUUCGGAAUCACUGGGCGUAAAGCGCGUGUAGGCGGUCCGUUAAGUCUGAUGUGAAAGCCCGGGGCUCACCCCCGGAAGUGCAUUGGAAACUGACGAACUCGAGUCCCGGAGAGGAGGGUGGAAUUCCUGGUGUGGCGGUGAAAUGCGUAGAUAUCAGGAGGAACACCGGUGGCGAAGGCGGCCCUCUGGACGGUGACUGACGCUGAGACGCGAAAGCGUGGGGAGCAAACAGG